UACGUAGGGUGCAAGCGUUGUCCGGAAUUAUUGGGCGUAAAGAGCUCGUAGGCGGUUUGUCGCGUCGAAUGUGAAAACCCGGGGCUCAACCCCGGGCCUGCAUUCGAUACGGGCAGACUAGAGUUCGGUAGGGGAGUCUGGAGUUCCUGGUGUAGCGGUGAAAUGCGCAGAUAUCAGGAGGAACACCGGUGGCGAAGGCGGGUCUCUGGGCCGAUACUGACGCUGAGGAGCGAAAGCGUGGGGAGCGAACAGG
rnacentral:rRNA from 1 species